GCCGAAGUGGCGGAACGGCAGACGCGCUACGUUCAGGGCGUAGUGGGGGGACCCCCCGUGGGAGUUCAAAUCUCCCCUUCGGCACCA
rnacentral:tRNA from 1 species